CCAGCACGUCCUGUUUUCGUACCAAGAGAUCCCGAUCUGUGGAAGUACAAGGUAGCCGUGCGGAACAUCGAAAUUCGUCGAGAAGCAGAACAGACGACGUACGAAUGAGACCGGUGUGAAAAUAGCACCAACAACAUUUGAAGAAAGAAACACGUGCUGGAGAUUCACGGAGAGUUCCUGGCCGCACUAUUGUCGAUCGCCUGCCCAGAAAAGAACCUCUGAGAAUUCGCUGAUCGAAUUCUCAACGGCACCCACAGGUAGCCGCUACAGCAGAGGUUACAAGGCCUUCUGGCACCGUGCACACAAACCUGCCGAACCGUGAUCUUUCAAGAUUACAAAUGA